GCUCGGCGAAGGUUCCGGAGCUCGCGCGCGCCCCCUCCCCUCCCGACCCGCCCCCCGCCGCUGUCACUUCACCGUGCAGCUCCGGUGCGGACAGCAAAACAGCGGUAACUUGGCUGCAAGAUGGCAGAACCACACCAGGAUGUCACCGUGGUGGAGGACCAGGAGAGGCAGCACGUCCCCUCAGGCUAUCCCCUUCAGAUUCCAGUCGAUGACGGAUCGGAUGAGCCUGUUUCUGAAACCUCUGACGCUAAGAGCACCCCAACUACAGAAGAUGCCACAGCACCUUUAGUAGAGGAAGGAGACCAAGAGGAUCAGCACGGGGAGAUCCCAGAAGGAACCACAGCUGAAGAGGCGGGCAUAGGAGCCACCCCCAGCCUGGAGGACCACGCUGCAGGAGAUGCUGCUCAAGCUCCAGGGGAGCCCAGCUCUCCAAAGCUGCAGCCUGGCCUUAAGGAGCACGUGGGAGGUGUGAUGAAAAGGGGCAGCCAGCCCAUGGAGCAGCUGGCUGCUGUUCCUCAGGAGCCUCUUCUGCAACAAGAAACAAAGCCUGCAGCCACAGCUCCCACCAGGAUCGAGGUCACUAUCCCGAUACCCCUGGAUAUGUACCAAGAUGUCCGAGCAGCUGAGGACAGCAGUGAGCUGUGGGAUCGUGGGGGCAGAGAAGGCAUUGGUGUGGAUUCAGCAAUGGGAGAAGAGCUGGGUGAUGUGUGCACCGUGGGGCUGGCAGGAGCAGGUGGCACUGAUGCCUCCCGUACUGCAGCUGGGCCAGCUCCGUUAUAUGCUGGAGCCCCGCUAAAAGAAGAUGCCAGCAGAUGGGAAAGAGAUGAGGAUGAAGCUUCUCGGCAGGGUUUGCUUGGCCUGGUGGGACAGCGUGUUCCUCCAGGACCCGAAGCAACCAAAGAAGCUCUUGAAGAAGAAAGCAAGUCCAGAGAUGUCCUGAGAGACACAGAGAGAGAGGCGCUCCUUGUUGAAUGUGAAGCACGGAAAGCAGAAGACCAAGAGGAGAGACAGCAGUUACAGGGGGAAGAGUCAUACGCAGAUGUCACCUCGUCUGAGCCUUCUGAGACCCAAACAGAAGGGGCAGGAGGGGAUGCUGGACCCUUAAAGGAAGCAGCCAAACCCCCCGUUGGGUUAAAGGAUGGCAGGGAAGACAGAGAUGCUGCCGUGGAAGAGGCAGAGCUGGGUGCAGAAGGGUGCAGGACGCCCAAGAAGAAGCCUGGUGCUGCAGAUAAAGCAGUCAGUCGAGUUCCUCUCCUGAAAGCUCGUAUUGAUAGCAAAGACAAGGAAGGGGCUGAAACUGAUGAAAAGAAACCGAAGAAAUCCUCACCUUCCACUGCCAAACCCCCAAGCGAUAGAGCCUCCAUCCCUCCCCACCGACACACCUCCUCUAGCACAGCCCCUCCGAAAUCUCCCUCCAGCCCUGCAUCCACCUCUAAACGAGUCACACCCCGACCUGCCAGUACAGGAACGCAUGAAACAAAGGCCAAGGGCCAGGAGAUGAGGGGUGGCACCAAGCCGGCCACGCCGCGCUCUGCAGCCGGGCAGGCACAGAGGAACGCCAGCAACGCCACCCGCAUCCCAGCCAAAACCCCCACGGCCCCCAAGACCCCUCCUGGCUCUGGCAGAAAGGAGCAGAAAAAGCCACCCCCUGCAGCAGCGAAGUCUGAGAAAGGUGAGCAGCCCAAGUCUGGAGACAGAAGCGGUUACAGCAGUCCCGGCUCCCCCGGGACUCCAGGCAGCCGUUCCCGCACUCCUUCUCUGCCCACCCCACCAGCCAGGGAGCCCAAGAAGGUGGCUGUGGUUCGCACGCCUCCCAAAUCGCCCGCGUCUGCCAAGAGCCGCGUGCAGCCCUCGGCGGCUCCGAUGCCCGACCUGAAAAACGUCAAAUCCAAAAUCGGCUCCACCGAAAACCUGAAGCACCAACCUGGAGGUGGCAAGGUGCAGAUUAUUAAUAAGAAGCUGGACUUUAGCAGCGUUCAAUCCAAGUGUGGCUCAAAGGAUAAUAUCAAACACAUCCCAGGAGGAGGCAGUGUGCAGAUUGUUAAUCAGAAGUUGGACUUUAGCAGCGUUCAAUCCAGGUGUGGCUCAAAGGAUAAUAUCAAACACAUCCCGGGAGGAGGCAGUGUUCAAAUCGUUUACAAGCCGGUGGACCUGAGCCACGUCACGUCCAAAUGCGGUUCCCUGGGCAACAUCCAUCACAAACCAGGUGGUGGCCAAGUGGAGGUGAAAUCUGAGAAACUGGACUUCAAAGAUAAGGUGCAAUCUAAAAUCGGGUCCUUAGAUAACAUCAGCCACGUUCCUGGAGGAGGAAAUAAAAAGAUCGAGACUCAUAAGCUGACUUUCCGUGAGAACGCCAAAGCCAAGACCGACCACGGCGCCGAAAUCGUCUACAAAUCCCCCACCAUCUCUGGAGACGCCUCUCCGCGCCGCCUCAGCAACGUCUCCUCCACCGGCAGCAUCAACAUGGUGGACUCCCCCCAGCUCGCCACGUUAGCCGACGAAGUGUCCGCCUCGCUGGCCAAGCAGGGCUUGUGAUGGGGCACAGCAUCACCGUGGGAGAGAGAGAGAGAGAAGAUGAGGGGGGAAAAAUACAAACAAAGCAAAAAAGAAAAGAAAAAAAACCAAGAAACACGAAUAAUAAUAAUCUGGCCUUCUUCCUCUGUUCCUUUUACAGCUGCUUCCCCAUCCCCUACUCGGUUAAUGAUUUAACCUGCUUUUACUGUUCAUUCAGCUCUAGCUCCAGGACUUCACAAUCAGUGACACUUUGAGAGCCGAGAUGUUCGAAGCAAACUAAGAACCGCCAGGCAUCCCCGGCAGGGCAGCAGGGGGUUCCCCUCCGUGGCUGUGCCCAGCGGAUGAUUGAUCAAUUCGAGGCUUUUCCCCCUUUUCCCUCGGCAGCCCCUCGUGUCGUAGAGUAGAUUUGUCUGUAUAUGCUUGGACCGUGCCAGGGUGGUUGUUUUCAUAAACGAGCAUGUGUUUAAUGAUGCUGUCAGUGAGUGGUUGGCGCUGCACCGCAUGUCGGGGACGGCGCCCGGAGGUGGGCGCAGCGGUAACACCUGGGGGUUGCGAUGGCUUUUUUGUUGUUUUGUUUUGUUUUUCCUUCCUUUGCAAGGUCAGCUCAGAGCUCACAGAAGCGGCAGCUCCGCGGCUCUGCUGCGCUCGUGUGGUGGCAGCAGGAGGAGGAGGAGGAGGAGAGGAGAGGAAGGUGCAAUGGCGGUGGUGGUGGUGGCCAUCCCAGCGCUGAGCGCGGCGCCCUCCUGGGCUGCAGCACCCCAUGGCACCCCAUAGCACCCCAUGGCACCCUAUGGCACCCCAUGGCACCCUGUGGCACCUCAUAGUACCCCAUGGCACCCCAUGGCACCCUAUGGUACCCCAUGGCAGCCCAUAGCACCCCAUGGCACCCUAUGGCACCCCAUGGCAGCCCAUAGCACCCCAUGGCACCCUAUGGUACCCCAUAGCACCCCAUGGCACCCUAUGGUACCCCAUGGCAGCCCAUGGCACUGUGUGCCUCCCCUGCCCCCAGCACCACGCAGAGCCCCUUUGUUCCUUCACUGUCGUUGUUCCCGUGCCAAUGGGGGUUUGGGGCAGUGCUGCACCCAUCCCCUUCUCCCCUCCUUCCCCCACCCCGUGCCCACUCCUUCACCAACCAAAGAGGCUGAGGUGCUGCUGGAGCAGCUCCGCACCGCCCUCCCCCCCCCUGCACCCCUAUGAACGGCUGCUGGGAGGGGAGGGGGCAUCCAUAGGGCUGCACUGAGGGCUGUGAGCUCCCAGGAGGGGCACUGGGGUGCUGGGGAUGCUCAGGCCGAGGUGCCGGAUGGAGCCAUCACCCCCCUUUCCUGGGUGCUGCUGGAGCCACAUUGGGACCUGGGUUGGGACGGGGGGCUGCGUGGCGUUGGGCUGAGGGCUGGGGGCUCCCAUUCGUGGGGCGCAGCACAGAGGGGUGACAGCAGUGCUGGAACACGAGCAGCCAGAGCCCCCGCAGCCCCCACCGCCCUCAGCUGGGGGGGGAUCCCACAGCCCCCCACCUUCCCCUCUUUCCCUCCCCACAUCCGAUGGGGCCGAUGAGGGUCCAAACCACAGCGGGAGCCUCAGGGUGGGGAG